GGGGGCGUAGCUCAGCUGGGAGAGCGCCAGAAUCGCACUCUGGAGGUCGUGGGUUCAAGUCCCAUCACGUCCACCA
rnacentral:tRNA from 1 species